ACCCCCCCUUCGUCUCUGAAAGAGGCAAACCAAACAACCUCGGAACCCUAGCGCCGCCACCUUACUCCAUCGCCUGAAACCCGGCGGCAUCGACACCGCCGGUCACCAGAUUAACACCCCUAAACCAUCUGACCACCCCCGUUCCAAAUAUGUUACUCCAUUGUCUCAAAUCUUCCCCCAUCGUCUCGAAUUUUCAUUUGAAGAUUCGAGCCAAACCUAAACUUAUACCAACCGAUCCCAAAUGCACACCAGUUACUCCCCUGACCUCCCUCGUGACCAAACCAAACCUUGUUUGGUUCGAAUCGAACCAGAACAGCUCGAACCCCUAAUCUGAGCCCCAAGAACCCUAGAAAUUCAAAAACCAGGAAUUUGUCCAAAUUGGCAGAGGUUUGAGGUUCUAAUAGACCUUAGUCGAAUUGUUCUCCGUUGAGAACACUUGAUUAAGGUCCAUUCGACCUCAAAAAGGUCGAGUCUGAGUUCAGACCUGGGUCAUCUAGAUUACUCGAGGUACACUCUUAUCUCCAUUUUAAUGUGGCAUCUUGGUUCAAGUGUAUAAAUGAUCCAGAAAGUCAAUGACAAGGAAUUUUUGUUAAUCUGAACCUAUUAGGAAUUAUUGUAGUUUAAUACCCCAUUUAGAUUACUUAUGUUGUCAAGAACUAUAUUGAACUGCUAGACCGAUUUUGUUUGUUUUGGCUAAUUUUGGGUUAAGUUAACAAUUAACUUGGGUUUAGUUUUCACAUUGAUAGUGUAAUGCAUGAUCUUAGCAGGUUCCUGGGUGUAUUCGAAUGAACUGCAUGAGAUUGUAUUUGAACUAAAAAAUGGAUUUCGAGUUUAGUUAGAUCAUGUGAAUUAUUGGAUUGUUAAGUAUUAGAUCCUCUUUUGUAA